GCUAACACGGGGCCAGCGGCGGGGGGAAAACGGAGGGUGCAAGGGUUAAUCGGAAUUAAUGGGCGUAAAGCGAACGCAGGCGGUUGGAUAAGUUAGAGGUGAAAGCCCCGGGCUCAACCUGGGAAUUGCAUUUAAAACUGUCCAGCUAGAGUCUUGUAGAGGGGGGUAGAAUUCCAGGUGUAGCGGUGAAAUGCGUAGAGAUCUGGAGGAAUACCGGUGGCGAAGGCGGCCCCCUGGACAAAGACUGACGCUCAGGUGCGAAAGCGUGGGGAGCAAACAGGAUUAGAUACCCCAGUAGUC
rnacentral:rRNA from 1 species